rnacentral:lncRNA from 1 species
GUUUUUUUGGCUUACGGAGAGCAAAAGGUUUGCGUUGUGAGUCAGCACUGAAGCUCAGUAAUUCAACACGAGAUGGGUUUAAGGCUACCUUUGACCAAUCCGGGGCUGUUGUGGCUUCCAGGGUAAUGCAGAGCAUCCGUGGAAUCCCUCUGUGCAGCAGGGUGGAGAUCUGAGGAAGAGACCUACAGCCAAAUGGCCUGAGCUGUCACAGCACGGUACCUAUGAUUCCCGUGACGGCUCCAUCCUGCAACGUUCUGAACCUCCUCACUGUGCUUCAGCAAUGCGAUCAGGUCCAGAUACGAGCUCAGGACUGGACCUACUGCAACAAGCAGUGUGAACAAUGCUGGGCUCUUACUGCCAUGCUCAGUGAGUUUCUGGCUGCAUCUAGAGUGCCAAAAAAACUUAUUGCAGGAAACAGGAGUGUCAUUUCUCCUUGUCUGCUGUGAGCGAGUCCUCAUCGGUUCAAGUGACAACACGUGCAGGUGCCUCUCUGCUUUUUCCACACCGGGUGAGUCCUUUCAGCAAGCAGGGAGGGAACAGCUGCUGGGUGAAAACAAGGCCAUCCUGCUGACCCAAGCUGAAAUGCGACAGGGAAAUGGGAUUUCUGACCUUGAGAGGUACAAAGUUGCCCAAAGGAGGGACCCGGCGAAGAUUAAAAAUAACUCCAACUCCGUAACGCUUCUGCAGCUGGGCCAAAGCAUUGCAAAACACACAGCCAGCUAUGAAAUAGGACCAAUUGACAACAGCCUUUUGGUGACCGAUGGGCUGAGGAGCUCGCCCUCCCC